rnacentral:rRNA from 1 species
UACAGAGGUCUCGAGCGUUAGGCGGAAUCACUGGGCUUAAAGCGUGUGUAGGUGGAUGCCUAAGUACCUUGUGAAAUCCCCCGGCUUAACCGGGGAACUGGCGUAGAUACGACCGUCCUGGAGGGGCGUAGGGGGACCUGGAACUUCCGGUGGAGCGGUGAAAUGCGUUGAGAUCGGAAGGAACGCCCGUGGCGAAAGCGAGGUCCUGGACGCCUACUGACGCCGAGACGCGAAAGCCAGGGGAGCGAACGGG